rnacentral:rRNA from 1 species
UACGUAGGUGGCAAGCGUUGUCCGGAUUUACUGGGCGUAAGGGCGUGCAGGCGGUCUGUUAAGUUCAGGGUGAAAGCUCCCGGCUCAACUGGGAGAGGUCCUUGGAUACUGGCAGACUUGAGGAGGGUAGAGGAGAGUGGAAUUCCCGGUGUAGUGGUGAUAUGCGUAGAUAUCGGGAGGAACACCAGUGGCGAAGGCGGCUCUCUGGGCCCUACCUGACGCUGAGACGCGAAAGCGUGGGGAGCGAACCGG